GAAUCUUCGUGCCUGAGGAUCGGUGACGAGCUAGACGAAGAUGCUAAGUCUUGUGUGAGCUGCGACUCCGGAUUUACCUUCUAUUCUACUUAUCCGCAUGUUGCUCGUUCUGGGUCCAACACUUCCGAUGGGACGUUCAAGAGCGCCAGGAAUUCUCUGAUUAAAAUUUCUUCAAGUACCAACACCGUUGUUGUUGUUUAAAAUCCAAUAAAUGUUUAAUUGUUCAUA